GAACUGAGCACAACCUUUAUAUAGAUCAGAGGGCUUGGAAACCCGCCUGGCUGUCCUGGUUCCAAGUUCCUCAGUGAAGGGGCUGCAGGCAGGUCAGGCCACAGCUGUCAUUGGCAUCUGGGUCUCACACAGAGGACAAUGCCCUGGAACUCCAGGCAUGCCACGACAGCUGCCCGAGGGUAUCUGAAGGGCGCUGUGAAAGGAGAACCUCCUUAGAUUUUGUCCCCAGCCAGCCAGUCAGCCCAGGCUGAAAACAUGAUGGGAGAAAAAGCCACCAACAGUGGCUCCCAGUGGGACCUCUGCUCCAGAGUGGGGACAGUGGGGACAGCUGGAUCCCAGGCCAAAGGGAAGCGCACAGAGAGAAACCCCAACAACCUGGGUCAAAAUUCAGCAUUGCCCAAGGCAAAGGCUCUGGCUGUGAGGCGGACCGCAAGGAUCCUCUCUGACCCUCAGGUUUUUUUCAUAUGAGAAAUGGACCUGAUGUAGACAUCUGCUUUAUGGUGUGGUUUGGAUAGGGAGGAAUCUGGUCAGUGCCUGGCAUUCCGGGAGAGGUGGGACAAGCUGGUGACAAGCACUUGUUGUCACUGGGACCUCAGUGCAGGAAAAUCGCCGCACAGAGGCUGGGAAUGCCACAGUGUGAAGCCCUCAUCCAGUCCUGAGGACCCAUACCAUCUUCUCUAGAGCCGAGGGCAUGUCCAUUUGAACUCAGCUGGCUCAGAGCAUCUGCCUCAAGUGUUGAGUGUCUGUGGCCUGGAGCAGGAAGAGGAGCCAGGAAGGCAGAAAACAAUAAUCUCAAUUUCUCUCUAUCCCAUCCCCACCGUGUGUGUGUGUGUGUGUGUGUGUGUGUGUGUGUGUGUGUCUGUCUGUCUGUCUGUCUGUCUGUCUGUCUGUCUGUCUGUCUGUCCUCCCACUCCUGGAUCUUCACAGGCCAACUGCAGCCAUAGCACAUAGUAGAGAUGCCAAGGUCUGGUCUGGUGAAGUCAUCUGGCCCGGGGGGCCCCCCGGAAAACUGACCUGGAACCCCAGCCUUCAAUGAUUGAAGCACUCCGGUGGAUCAAAGUCAAUCGCUAAGUGACCUUAACUGUCAGGCUAAGGAGGGGAGGGUCAUCCGAGCGGGACACAGGGGAAAGAGUUGGAAUAGGAGUGUGUGAAGGGUGGGGGGUAGGGUGGUGAGAGAGAGGAGACCCCAGAGUAUUGGGAGCUACUGCCAUAGGCAAGACCUGGGGCAGAAUUAGAAGGAACUAUAUUUCAAACAUCAGAGGGCAAAAUAGAAAACAAGGGUUGAAUCAAGAUGGCGGGGGCUUUGGGUCUGGAAAUCCAGGGAAUGGGAGAGUUAGAAAUGAAAAGAGUUGGGGGAUAAAGAGGUUCGAGAAAGACUUCGCACUGUGGUGGUCCACCCAGUGUUGUGUGUAAGCUGAGUUGUCUGAACAUGACUGUGCCCAGGAGCAUUCUAGAAUGUUGAAGGUAGUUCCAUGUGUCCAUUUUCUAGAGGUAACUGAAGCAUAGGGCUGUGGUGCCUGGCAGAGCAGUGCUCAGAGACCAGUGGCCCCCAGGAGGCCCUCCCUGCCCGCCACCCCCUAGUUGGAGAGGUUGCUUCCCCAGGGAUGGCUGUCACCAGCACCUUUGGAGUCUUGACAGAAGGAGAUAAGCUAUCCUUGGUGACAGCAGCCAUCAGCCACAGCUCUAAGCUGACUGGGCCUUCUUUCUAUAAAGACUCGGACUUCAUCACCCUCCUUAAAGAGCCCAGCACCCAAGGCAGGUUGGCCAUGGUGAGGCCACUUCCGGAAGAGACCAGCAAGCCAUGGUAGGUACCUCCCCUCACCUGGCUCUGCCUUUCAUUUGAAUAGACCAGCCCUCACUCUCCUGUUGCUCACUCUGGGCUCAUUGGCUCUGCUGAGAAGUUUCAAAACCAGCCAUGUCGGCAAGGGACAAGGUACCUCGCUGCUGACAGCUGGGCCACACAGCUUGGACUCCAUUCUGGCAGCUGGCAUGGAAUAGGCACCUGCAGAGAAGAUGAGUUCAAAUCUGCCCCAAGCUGGGAAUGGUGGUCCAGGUCUGUGAUCCCAAUACUCAGAAGGCUGCGGUAGGAGGACCACAAGUUCAAGGCCAGCCUGGACUACAUAGUGAGAAUCUGUCUCAGACAGAUAAAAGGCAUAAAUUAUGUAGGGCAAUGAUGGCUCACGGCUUUAAUCCCAGCACUCGAGAAGCAGAGGCAGGCAUCUCUGUGAGUUUGAGGUCAACCUGGUCUCCAGAUCGAGUUCCAGGAAAGGCUCCAAAGCCACAGAGAAACCCUGUCUUGAAAAAAAAAAAAAGGCAUAAAACACUCCUGCAACCCAGGCAAGACUGAUCACUUUAACAGGAAUCCUGUUUCAGCCUUUGUUUUCCUUUUAAAGAUUUGUUUUAGUCUUUUUAAGUAUGUGUGUGUAUGCCUGUGCGUGGCUAUGCCCAUGUGAGCGCAUUGCUCUGGGAGACCAGAAGGGGGUGACAAAUUCCUAUCGCUAUAGUUACAUCUGUGGAUGAUGGGAAUCAAACUCAGCUCCUUUAGAAGAGUAGUCUUAACAUCCAAGUUCUCUCUCCAGCCCUUAUUUUUUUGUUUAUUUUUUGACAGAGCUAUGAGCUCCAGCCCCAAUCUUCCCUUACUGUUCCUAUUCUGCCUCCCUGGCUUCACACAUCUCUGACUCCAGUGCUGGUUCACUCCUUCCUUCAGAAACAAAAGUGUUACUUUAACAGGUCCCCGGCAGUGGUGAGCUCCAUGCAGGGCCUGAGGCCAGUAAAACGAGUACCCUCCUUCUGUGGCUAUCUUCAAGAGCACUGUGAGCCCAGGUGGAGGUAUCAAGUCCCGGUUCAGAUGGAGGCCUUGACAGUGGGUCUCCGUAGUGCCCACAGCCUGUGGGAGAAGGACCCUCCACUUCCAAGCUUGCCCCCACCAUCAGACCAAUUCCCAGGCCUGGAAGGAAAGUUAACAGGCUCUUCACUCCAGCAGGAGUCCCCGGGUCAACACCUACAAAAUAACCACACCCACAAAAAUAAUCUGCUUUUGUCCUCCUGACAACCCCAAGAGGGUAACGUCAUUAUCAUGCCCAUUCUACAGGUGAGCAAACUGAGGCUCAGAGAGGACAAAAAACCUACCCCGUGUCACACAGCUGCUCAGUGCCCAAGCAAGGAAAACCAAAGAAGCCCAGACAUUCCCAAGUGGGCUGAGUUGCUUCUCCAGGCCACAUCUUUCUGCCAGGGAUUGUGUCAGAUGUCUCUGUGAUUCCUCGAACUGCAGAGUCUGGUGUAUUUUGCACUUGUCCUGAGCUGUGUCCUCUCGGCUGUAUGGCACACACUGACGUCCCCACAACCAGAACCACCAUGAGUACAUCAUUUUGUGCCAAGGAAACAUUUUGUUUUUUGGUUUUUGAAACAGGGUUUCUUUGUUUAGCCCUGGUUGUCCCAAACUCACUCUGUAGACCAUGCUGGCUUGGAACUCACAGAUAUCCACCUGCCUCUGCCUCCUGAGUGCUGGGAUUAAAGGCGUGCACCACCAACACCGGCUCAAAACAUUUUUUUCCAGCCUAGUAUCGGGAUUAAAGCUGGAACUAGCGGGUCCUGUAACCCACUUCUCCACCUUUAGUACAGAGGCAAAGACUUGGCUUCAUCUGGUCACUUCUGAGUUUUAUGUGAAUUUCCCUGAGGUUUGGCAUUGGGGUUAUUUGGUUUGAUUCUUUGCUUCAUUAGAGGAAUAAAUCAAAACUUAGGCUUUUAAAAGCAAAGGUAUUUAAUGGAUCAACUCAGCACCUAGGAGACGAAGACAGGAAGAUCAGGAAGUCAAGGUCAUCUCUGCUACACAAUCGCAGCCUGGGCUAUGUGAGAUACAACAUAAAAUACAAAAAAACAAAAACAAAACAGAAAAUACAUGGUAUUCCUUCCUACUGUGUUAUACUGAAAACAGUUGGGCACACAUCCCUAUUAUACUCUGAAAAGUUGGGCACACAACCUGAGAUUCUCAAAGUUCAUCUCUGCUGAGUGCUGAGUUAAUUAUCGGUGUUACUAUAACACAGCACCAGAGGCUGGAUCGUUUGCAAACACAAGCGAUUUAUUGCUCCAAAGGCUGGAGGCUGCUGAGGGCAGAGAGUUUACUAGUCUCUUUUCCUCUUACUAAGUCACUAAUCCCACCUGAGGCUCGGGGGUUGGGGGGGCAUCCUUGUUACCUCAUCUAAUCUCAGUCACACCUCACAGACACCCCCCCCCGGGCACUGCCAAAUGUGGACUUGGGGACUAAACUCCCAAUCCAGGAGCUUCAGGGAGAAACAUCUAAACCCCAGUGUCCCCUGACUCCAGGAGUACACCAGAUCCAGCACACAGUAGGGCUCCAAUAAAUACUUAAGUCCUUAAAGUAGGGAUAAAAUCAUUUUUGUGUUUAUAAAUGACCUACAUUUUCUUCUCGUCUCUUAAAACUGUCAAUGGGUUAUUAUUUUUGUGUACACACACACACACACACACACACACACACAGGCACUCGUGCGCGCGCCUGCAGUGUGCACACGUAUGCACUCGUAUGUGUGCUCACACGCAGGUUCAGGUACUUAUGGGUUUCAGGUGACCCUGCUCGGACACCUCUUGGGGAAGGGGGUGAGAAAAUGCAGCACCAACAACUCAGGCACUGGGAGUCAGUGAGUAGCAGAGCAGGCUGCACACUUCCUUUAUUAAGAAGGUAGGCCUGGGCUGCAGAGAUGGCUCAGAGGCACCAACUGCUCUUCCAGAGGUCCUGAGUUCAAUUCCCAGCAACCACAUGGUGGCUCACAACCAUCCGUUAUGAGAUCUGGUGCCCUCUUCUGGUGUGCAGAUAUACAUGGAAGCAGAAUACUGUAUACAUAAUAAAUAAAUAAAAUCUAAAAAAUAAAACAUUACUAAAAUAAAAAUAUAUUAAAAAAAAAAAAGGUAGGCCUGCCUCUAUACACCCUCUCCAGGUCCUAUUGGCUCAGACGGCUGACUCUGCUGCGCUGUCCUUUUCUUAUUGGUGUCUCUGGGUCA
rnacentral:lncRNA from 1 species